rnacentral:rRNA from 1 species
CCUACGGGUGGCAGCAGUGGGGGAUAUUGCACAAUGGGCGAAACCCUGAUGCAGCGACGCCGCGUGUGGGAAGACGGUCCUUUGGAUUGUAAACCACUGUUCCCAGGGACGAAAAUGACGGUACCUGGGGAGGUAGCUCCGGCUAACUACGUGCCAGCAGCCGCGGUAUUACGUGGGGAGCGCGCGUUGUCCGGGAUUACUGGGUGUAAAGGGAGGUUUGGCGGGGAUGCAUGUUGGGGGUCAACACUACCGGCUAAACUGGUAGUCGCAGUCGAAACUGGAGCUCUUGAGUGAAGUAGAGGCAGGCGGAAUUCCUAGUGUAGCGGUGAAAUGCGGAGAUAUUAGGAGGAACACCAGUGGCGAAGGCGGCCUGCUGGGCUUUUACUGACGCUGAGGCUCGAAAGUGUGGGGAGCAAACAGGAUUAGAUACCCUGGUAGUC